UCAAAGUGUUCUCUCUCUUCCUCUUCCUGUUGGCGAUUAGGGUUUCAAAGCUUUGUGUAAACACAAUGAAUCUGUGUGAUUAGUGUUUUCAUCCGUUAGUCGUGAGAAGAUUAUCACAUUGAUAAUCUUUUAGGAGUAGUUGAGAGAUUGUUUGUGAGUGUUUCUCUUUGUAAUCAGAUCUGAUCUUUCUGUUGAGUUAUAAUACAACUUGGUUUGGGUAUUGUGUUGAUUCGUGAAGAUCUGUGUUUACCUCCAUGUUUUACAACACAAACAAACAAACAAAGUUGGGCCCACCAUUUGGAUCGUCCUGAACGUCGACAUCUCGACGCUGAAGACGGGGACGGGAUGAAGACGGAGGGGGGCAGGAUGGGAUGACGCCGGCGCCGGUGGAGGACGGACCAGGACGGAGGUCCAUACCGUGCAGCCUUAGUAGGUACUCUUUUCUCGAUAUAUGUGGUGUUCGCCAAUAUAUUGGUCAUCUAACCAAGGAGCAUCACAUUGGCUUUGAAGCAAAUGAAUGGUUAUGACAUUUUGUAGAUGUGUUUUAGUUAUUCUCCUUUGUCUCUAUCUAUUCGUGGGAACGAAUCAAUGGACUGAAAAAUUUAAGCACGAAGACAAAAAGAAGCGGGCUUUUCAAAGAAUUAUUGCAGCUUUCCCACAUGCUUACAUGGGUUUCGCUUAAGUUACAAGAUUUUAAGUUUGUUCGGAUUAGUAAUGAUGUGUUGGUAUAAACACAUAUAUGGAUUGUGUUUGGGUUUAUUAAACUUGCCAACCAAUUAACCAAACAUGAUUUUCACCCUUAA